rnacentral:rRNA from 1 species
GACGUAGGGGGCAAGCGUUGUCCGGAUUUAUUGGGCGUAAAGAGCGUGUAGGCGCCAGACAGGUCCGUUGUGAAAACUCGAGGCUCAACCUCGAGACGCCGAUGGAAACCGUCUGGCUAGAGUCCGGAAGAGGAGAGUGGAAUUCCUGGUGUAGCGGUGAAAUGCGCAGAUAUCAGGAAGAACACCCGUGGCUAAGGCGGCUCUCUAGUACGGUACUGACGCUGAGACGCGAAAGCGUGGGGAGCGAACAGG